GAUGAACGCUGGCGGCGUGCUUAACACAUGCAAGUCGAACGGAAAGGCCCUAGCUUGCUUGGGUACUCGAGUGGCGAACGGGUGAGUAACACGUGGGUGAUCUGCCCUGCACUUCGGGAUAAGCCUGGGAAACUGGGUCUAAUACCGGAUAGGACCACAUUUUGGAUGGUGUGGUGGAAAGUUUUUCGGUGUGGGAUGAGCUCGCGGCCUAUCAGCUUGUUGGUGGGGUAAUGGCCUACCAAGGCGUCGACGGGUAGCCGGCCUGAGAGGGUGUACGGCCACAUUGGGACUGAGAUACGGCCCAGACUCCUACGGGAGGCAGCAGUGGGGAAUAUUGCACAAUGGGCGCAAGCCUGAUGCAGCGACGCCGCGUGGGGGAUGACGGCCUUCGGGUUGUAAACUCCUUUCGCUAGGGACGAAGCGUUAUGUGACGGUACCUGGAGAAGAAGCACCGGCUAACUACGUG
rnacentral:rRNA from 1 species